rnacentral:snoRNA from 1 species
GGCUAUGAUGAGAAGAGGGUUAUCUGAUGCAUGAUGAUACUUACCCGAACUGAGC